AGCGAACGCUGGCGGCAGGCCUAACGCAUGCAAGUCGAACGAAGUCUUCGGACUUAGUGGCGGACGGGUGAGUAACACGUGGGAACGUGCCUUUAGGUUCGGAAUAACUCAGGGAAACUUGUGCUAAUACCGACUGUGCCCUUCGGGGGAAAGAUUUCUCGCCUUUAGAGCGGCCCGCGUCUGAUUAGCUAGUUGGUGAGGUAAAGGCUCACCAAGGCUACGAUCAGUAGCUGGUCUGAGAGGAUGACCAGCCACAUUGGGACUGAGACACGGCCCAAACUCCUACGGGAGGCAGCAGUGGGGAAUCUUGCGCAAUGGGCGAAAGCCUGACGCAGCCAUGCCGCGUGGAUGAUGAAGGUCUUAGGAUUGUAAAAUCCUUUCACCGGUGAAGAUAAUGACUGUAGCCGGAGAAGAAGCCCCGGCUAACUUCGUGCCAGCCGCCGCGGUAAGAC
rnacentral:rRNA from 1 species